rnacentral:rRNA from 1 species
CCUACGGGAGGCAGCAGUGGGGAAUAUUGCACAAUGGGGGAAACCCUGAUGCAGCGACGCCGCGUGAGUGAAGAAGUAUUUCGGUAUGUAAAGCUCUAUCAGUAGGGAAGAAAAUGACGGUACCUGAUUAUGAAGCCCCGGCUAACUACGUGCCAGCAGCCGCGGGAAUACGUAGGGGGCAAGCGUGAUCCGGAUGUACUGGGUGUAAAGGGAGCGUAGACGGCAGCGCAAGUCUGAAGUGAAAUGCCGGGGCUUAACCCCGGAAGUGCUUUGGAAACUGUGCAGCUAGAGUGCAGGAGAGGUAAGUGGAAUUCCUAGUGUAGCGGUGAAAUGCGUAGAUAUUAGGAGGAACACCAGUGGCGAAGGCGGCUUACUGGACUGUAACUGACGUUGAGGCUCGAAAGCGUGGUGAGCAAACAGGAUUAGAUACCCUAGUAGUC